rnacentral:rRNA from 1 species
UGCGGUUAAAACGCUCGUAGUUGGAUAUCUGCUAAGGGGUUCCGGUCCUUCCAAGUGGAGAAUACACGGAACUCUUCUUGGCAUUUGUUCAGGGAAGAUGUUUGCACUUCAUUGUGUGUCAUUUGAUCUGAAUUUUUACUUUGAGGAAAUGAGAGUGUUUCAAGCAGGCUUUCGCCGUGAAUAUGAUAGCAUGGAAUAAUAGCAAGGACCGUGUGUCAGAGCUGUUGGUUUUUGGCACGUGGUAAGUUUUAAUAAGGAUAGUUGGGGGUAUUCGUAUUUAACUGUCAGAGGUGAAAUUCUUGGAUUUUUUAAAGACGAACUAUUGCGAAGGCAUUUACCCAGGAUGUUUUUAUUGAUCAAGAACGAAAGUUAGGGGAUCGAAGACGAUCAGAUACCGUCCUAGUCUUAAACCUUAAACUAUGCCGACUGGGGAUUGGACGUUGUCAACUUCUGACACGUUCAGCACCCUGAGAAAAAUCUAAGUCUUUGGGGUUCCGGGGGG